rnacentral:rRNA from 1 species
UACGAAGGGGGCUAGCGUUGUCCGGAAUCAUUGGGCGUAAAGCGCGCGUAGGCGGUCCGGUAAGUCCGCUGUGAAAGUCGGGGGCUCAACCCUCGGAUGCCGGUGGAUACUGUCGGGCUUGAGUGCGGAAGAGGCGAGUGGAAUUCCUGGUGUAGCGGUGAAAUGCGCAGAUAUCAGGAGGAACACCAAUUGCGAAGGCAGCUCGCUGGGACGUAACUGACGCUGAUGCGCGAAAGCGUGGGGAGCGAACAGG